UCGAAGAGAGCACAUCGAACUUGGCGCCUAAAGGGAACGCUCAGGGAUUUGGGGGGAAAUGUGGAUAGCCCAGGAGCCUUUCAAGGGUAAAUGGAUGCCAGCCUGCAAGGUCCCAAAGCAGGAUCUGUGGGUCUGAAGUCAUCCCUAAACCAUGUAUUCAUCAAGAAUUCCCAGUAACAUUCGGUCCUCGCUGAAGGCUUGAGAGAAACGAACGCCAUCGCUUCCAACAUGCACACGCAAGUAGGGGACGUUGUAGCCCGAGUCUUUGUUCUGCCAGUUUCCUGGGGACCAAGGGAGCUUGCUUGAGCAAAUGCCAGUGCGACCAGGCAGGGUACGUGUGUCUGUGUGCCUGUGUAUAAGUUCGUGCACCAGAGUCACCUUCAGCUGAUGGAAAUGACAGUGAGUGGAUAAACGGCCCAGCCCCCUGUCCUCCAGCGCCCUGAUGAACCACUGCAUCCGGCCAGGAUCUGCCUCCAGGGAGACCUGAACUAAGACCAGAGAUGCCUGCAAACCAAGGUGGCCUGAUGUGUCAGCUGAGGCAUUUCCCCAUUGGUGGCCAGAGGCUCGCUGGAACACUUUCUUCCCUCUGAGGAGCCCUUAGUGCCUCCCACCCCACCUCCUACCCCUGCACAUCAUAGACCCAGGCCCCAGCCACCAGAGCGAGACCAGUGACUCAUCUGUGAUUCAUCUGAGCACCCCAGCAUUGGCACGUGUCUGAAGACACCAAGUGGAAGUUAUGUCUUCUGUGCCCUCCUGAUGAGGGGUGAAAGCUGAAGGCGCUGGUCACUGGCCCAUCCUCUUCCUCUUUCCAUAUGUAGAUGAGUGUCUUCAGAGGCCUGAAUUCCUGUUUUGUGUUAUAAUUUUUUUAAGUUUAUUUAUUUUGAGAGAGAGAGAGACAGA